rnacentral:lncRNA from 1 species
AUUUUUCAGUGUUCUGUUUGUAAGCUGUGAAAUGGCACCUGACUCUUCUCUCGUGGUGCUUUUUACCUUUUUUAAGCAGUCUGUGUAACCUUGGCAGAAUUAUAAGUUAAAACUUAUUAAGAACAGUAAUCAUGGUCUGAAAUUGGUUGUGACCUUCACAUUCAGUGAGGUGGGGCAGGGCAAAGCUGCUCAUUGCUUUGCUACAAUUUCCUGUAAAUGUAAGCCUUACAUUCAUUUCUUUGGUUUAACUGAAAGGACUUCUCUUUUCUUUGUUUUUCAGGAAUGCCAGACCUCGUGCAAAUCAUGUUGGGGUGUUCUGGAGCAGGACUGCUGCCUCUGCCCCCACACUGCAGCUGCCAUGGGGCUGUCCCUCACUGACCCUCACUGUUCCUGCUCCAUCCAGAGCAUUCCCAGCUGUGCUGAGCAGGACCUGGUGCUCUCAGGGAGAGCACACUCUGAGUGUUGGAUGCUGAUUUGGUCCCAGGCUGUGGAAGCUCCUGAGAGACUGAUUCUUUCUUGGAAUGUCCACAUGGACACAUCCAAUGGAGAAGAAAGCACAGUCUGGCUCCUCAGGUUGGGGGAAGGCUGGUUCACAAGUAACCAUGGCAACCAGGCUGUCACUGGGAGCACCAAGACAUUUUCAUACCAAAAAUAAAAUAGCCCAAACACACAACAGACAUUCCCACUCCAGCCUCCUUGGAGAUCCUACCUCAGUUUUGUUCCUCAGGGAUCCUGGCAGCAGCAGCAGGUGAGGAGAUUUUUCCUUCCUCUAUCUCCUGCACCAGCAGCAAACAUUGUUUCUGAUGAUAAACUUAAUAAUGGCUUCCAAUUAAAAGGGGAUAUUUGAGUUUUGAGUUGAAGAAACACUGAAGAUAAUUUUAUGUUCACCUUAAAAAGUUUCCAUCUGUCACACACUUCCCAAGCCAGUGUGCUCACAUCAAUAUUUAUAUCAGCCAGCCCAGUGUUUUCACAGAAAAGCCAUUAAUACAACAUAUCAGCUCUGGUGACAAGUUACAUUUUACAUUGCUGUCAACAAACAAAGAUGUUCUUUGUCUGCAAACUCCCCUUUUUUCCCUUUUCUUAAUCAAUCGUUAGGUUUGAGUUUUGAAGGAAAUGUGUAGAUGUGCUUUCCAAUGUUUGCUGGAGACAAGACAGAUGGAGCUUGUAGGAGCUGAUGGAAGGCACUGAUUAAUUUUCCUAGGAAAUAAAAUAACAGUUUUGGUGCA